AAAAUAGCAUAUGGUGUCGUCCAUGGCGUCGUCGCUAACUCUAGCACGUCAGAGAUGACGGGCCACCUGACAACGAGCUCAAUUGCUCUGAACUUCAGCCUGCAUUGCUUGGACCUUUUUAUUCAGAUGUCCAAUUCUUAUUUUCUGAUGUGUUGUGUGAAGGUUUAUGGCGAGGAGAGGAGAAGUGGUCGUUCGGGUUCUGCGAGAAUGGCAUGUGUGCAGGUUCAUGUACACUAUUGUUUGAUAAAUUGGUGGCAAAUAGCUGUGUGAGCUUCAUUUGGUCAGGUUGUUUCGACUGCAUGAUGCAUGAGACAUGGAUUCCUAAGGAUUGUUCAAGUGCAUUCAGUGUUAACGGAUGGAACACAGAUUAGCCUUGGCCACAAUGAGCAGAAGGAGUACAAUAUGGGUGACUGCAGGUACGUCCCCAAGGACACCGCUACGUCACUGUUGAAGGAAUCACAGUUGUGCUGGAAGGUCCUGCCUUCCUGCUUGCUGUGUCUGCCUUCUCAUCUUAUUUUAUGAUCGUUUAUGUGAAGAAGCAGCAGCAACUUG